rnacentral:rRNA from 1 species
CCUACGGGUGACAGCGGUGAGGAAUAUUGGUCAAUGGUCGGGAGACUGAACCAGCCAAGCCGCGUGAGGGAGGAAGGUACAGAGUAUCGUAAACCUCUUUUGUCAGGGAACAAAGGCGGGGACGUGUCCCCGGCUGAGUGUACCUGAAGAAAAAGCAUCGGCUAACUCCGUGCCAGCAGCCGCGGUAAUACGGAGGAUGCGAGCGUUAUCCGGAGUUAUUGGGGUUAAAGGGUGCGCAGGCGGUCUGUUAAGUCAGCGGUCAAACCCCGGGGCGCAACCCCGGCCCGCCGUCGGAACUGGGAGUGUGGAGUGGGAGAGAAGUAUGCGGAAUGCGCGGUGUAGCGGUGAAAUGCAUAGAUAUCACGCAGAACCCCGAUUGCGAAGGCAGCAUGCCGGCGCCACACUGACGCGGAGGCACGAAAGUGCGGGUAUCGAACAGGAUUAGAUACCCGGGUAGUC